GUGAUGGUGUGUGUGUGUGUGUGUGUGUGUGUGUGUUACUAUGUGUCCGAACCUAUACAAACCACAUAGGCUGAGAGUCAGG
rnacentral:miRNA from 1 species